rnacentral:rRNA from 1 species
UACGUAGGGGGCUAGCGUUGUCCGGAAUCAUUGGGCGUAAAGAGCGUGUAGGCGGUCCGGUAAGUCCGCUGUGAAAGUCGGGGGCUCAACCCUCGAAUGCCGGUGGAUACUGUCGGGCUCGAGUGCGGAAGAGGCGAGUGGAAUUCCUGGUGUAGCGGUGAAAUGCGCAGAUAUCAGGAGGAACACCGAUUGCGAAGGCAGCUCGCUGGGACGUUACUGACGCUGAGACGCGAAAGUGCGGGGAGCGAACGGG